AGGCGCGGGGCGGUGCACAGCGCGGGCGCAGGCGCCGAGAGGCGCACGGGAGACCUCAGGCCCAGACUCCACUCCCCAGCUGUGAAAGGACUGCUGGCCAGACCCCCAAGCUAGCCCGCCAGGCCUCCAUAGAGCUGCCCAGCAUGGCUGCGUCCAGUACCAAGAGUUGGUGGGAGACGGGUGAAGUACAGGCUCAGUCUGCGGCCAAGACUCCAUCCUGCAAGAGCCAGCUCAAUCACUUCUCCAGAAAGACUUACUGAGUCCUCUGCACUGAACAGGUGUCCUAUGCUCCAGGAGAGCCCUGGGCUGGCUCCUAGUGCAGCCGUUAUGACCCUGGAAUGCACCAUCUUUCACAUCACUGCCUGGCCUUCUAGAAUCUCAGCUUCUUAAAUCAAGAAAUUGUGUCUUGUUCAUGUCUGAAUUCCCCAAGUGAACACAGUGAGUGGGUGCUUGACAAAUCUUUGUUGGUAAUGAGCAAAAAAGGGGAUUCUGUGCCCAAUACCAUGAAAUCAAUGCACAGAAGAUUCAAUCAAUCAAGAAAGGUGCACAGACACUGGCCACACACACUGACAUUUGUUUGCAGAUGUUCCAGUCCCCCUGACUUCCACCAAUCCAUUCAUUCAUUCCACAAGCAUUUUUGCUGGGGUGGAAGCAGGGCCAUACAGGGUGUGUACAUCACAGAUAGGGUGGGUUUGUAUAAUGAGUAUAAAAAACUUCUAGCAGAAGAUGACAAAGUAUAUCAAGAAAGGGCUCUCUUCGAAAUCACACCACUGCACUCCAGCCUGGGUAACAGAGGGAGAUUCCAUCUAAAAAAAAAAAAAAAAAAAAAAACAGGGAUGGGGGCAAGGGAGCUCUUUUCUUCCAGUUAGCACAAGAUUGCCAUUUCAGCUAGGGAUUCUGCUGCAACUAUCUCCCAGACCCUAUUCUAGGGCCAGGGGAUAGAAACAGAAUCAAAAACAUAUUCAUUGUCUUUUUUGGGCUUAUAUUAUCGAGGAGAGAGAAAUAAACAAUUUCAAAAUAAACAGUGUCA
ensembl:lncRNA LSP1P5 LSP1 pseudogene 5